rnacentral:rRNA from 1 species
GACGAACGCUGGCGGCGUGCUUAACACAUGCAAGUCGAACGGAAAGGCCCUGCUUUUGUGGGGAGCUCGAGUGGCGAACGGGUGAGUAACACGUGAGUAACCUGCCCUUGACUUUGGGAUAACUUCAGGAAACUGGGGCUAAUACCGGAUAGGAGCUCCUGCUGCAUGGUGGAGGUUGGAAAGUUUCGGCGGUUGGGGAUGGACUCGCGGCUUAUCAGCUUGUUGGUGGGGUAGUGGCUUACCAAGGCUUUGACGGGUAGCCGGCCUGAGAGGGUGACCGGCCACAUUGGGACUGAGAUACGGCCCAGACUCCUACGGGAGGCAGCAGUGGGGAAUAUUGCACAAUGGGCGGAAGCCUGAUGCAGCAACGCCGCGUGCGGGAUGACGGCCUUCGGGUUGUAAACCGCUUUCGCCUGUGACGAAGCGUGAGUGACGGUAAUGGGUAAAGAAGCACCGGCUAACUACGUG